rnacentral:rRNA from 1 species
UACAGAGGUCUCAAGCGUUGUUCGGAUUCAUUGGGCGUAAAGAGCUCGUAGGCGGCCUGUCGCGUCGGAUGUGAAAGCCCGGGGCUUAACCCCGGGUUUGCAUUCGAUACGGGCAGGCUAGAGUGUGGUAGGGGAGAUCGGAAUUCCUGGUGUAGCGGUGAAAUGCGCAGAUAUCAGGAGGAACACCGGUGGCGAAGGCGGAUCUCUGGGCCAUUGACUGACGCUGAGGAGCGAAAAGCGUGGGGAGCGAACAGG